rnacentral:rRNA from 1 species
GACGGAGGAUGCGAGCGUUAUCCGGAAUGAUUGGGCGUAAAGCGUCCGCAGGUGGCAGUUCAAGUCUGCUGUCAAAGACCGGGGCUUAACUUCGGAAAGGCAGUGGAAACUGAACAGCUAGAGUAUGGUAGGGGCAGAGGGAAUUCCUGGUGUAGCGGUGAAAUGCGUAGAGAUCAGGAAGAACAUCGGUGGCGAAGGCGCUCUGCUGGACCAUAACUGACACUCAGGGACGAAAGCUAGGGGAGCGAAUGGG